rnacentral:rRNA from 1 species
UACGUAGGGUGCAAGCGUUGUCCGGAAUUAUUGGGCGUAAAGAGCUCGUAGGCGGUUUGUUGCGUCGGCUGUGAAAUCCCGAGGCUCAACCUCGGGUCUGCAGUCGAUACGAGCAAACUAGAGUGUUGCAGGGGAGACUGGAAUUCCUGGUGUAGCGGUGAAAUGCGCAGAUAUCAGGAGGAACACCGGUGGCGAAGGCGGGUCUCUGGGCCGGAACUGACGCUGAGGAGCGAAAGCGUGGGGAGCGAACAGG